UACGUAGGGGUGCGAGCGUUGUCCGGAAUUACUGGGCGUAAAGAGCUCGUAGGUGGUUUGUCGCGUUGUUCGUGAAAUUCCCUGGCUUAACUGGGGGGCGUGCGGGCGAUACGGGCAGACUGGAGUACUGCAGGGGAGACUGGAAUUCCUGGUGUAGCGGUGGAAUGCGCAGAUAUCAGGAGGAACACCGGUGGCGAAGGCGGGUCUCUGGGCAGUUUCGUGACACUGAUGCGCGACAGCGUGGGGAGCAAACAGG
rnacentral:rRNA from 1 species